CCUACGGGAGGCAGCAGUGAGGAAUAUUGGUCCAUGGGCGGGAGCCUGAACCAGCCAAGCCGCGUGAAGGAAGAAGGCGCCAGGCGUCGUAAACUUCUUUUGUCGGGGAACAAGGGCGCCACGCGUGGCGUUGUGAGUGUACCCGAAGAAAAAGCAUCGGCUAACUCCGUGCCAGCAGCCGCGGUAAUACGGGGGAUGCGAGCGUUAUCCGGAUUUAUUGGGGUUAAAGGGGGCGUAGGCGGUCCGGAAAGGCAGCGGUAAAAGGCCGGGGGUACAACCCGGCGAGCCGUUGAAAAUGUCGGACUAGAGACGGCGAGACGUACGCGGAAUGCGCGGUGUAGCGGUGAAAUGCAUAGAUAUCGCGCAGAACUCCGAUUGCGAAGGCAGCGUACCGGCGCCGGACUGACGCUGAGGCACGAAAGCGUGGGUAUCGAACAGGAUUAGAUACCCGUGUAGUC
rnacentral:rRNA from 1 species